UACGAAGGGUGCAAACGUUGCUCGGAAUUAUUGGGCGUAAAGCGCACGUAGGCGGCAUUGCAAGUCGGAUGUGAAAUCCCUCGGCUUAACCAAGGAAGUGCAUCCGAAACUGCAGUGCUUGAGUACUUAAGAGGAUCGCGGAAUUCCCGGUGUAGAGGUGAAAUUCGUAGAUAUCGGGAGGAACACCAGUGGCGAAGGCGGCGUUCUGGACUGCAACUGACACUGAUAAACGAAAGCCAGGGUAGCAAACGGG
rnacentral:rRNA from 1 species